AGAGUUUGAUCAUGGCUCAGGAUGAACGCUAGCGGCAGGCCUAAUACAUGCAAGUCGAACGAGAUUAAGAGGCUUGCUUCUUAUGAAAGUGGCGCACGGGUGCGUAACGCGUAUGCAACCUACCUUAAUCAGGGGGAUAGCCCGAAGAAAUUCGGAUUAAGACCGCAUAAAAACACAGGAUAGCAUUAUCCAAUGUUCAAAUAUUUAUAGGAUUAAGAUGGGCAUACGUGUCAUUAGCUAGUUGGCGGGGUAACGGCCCACCAAGGCGACGAUGACUAGGGGAUCUGAGAGGAUGACCCCCCACACUGGUACUGAGACACGGACCAGACUCCUACGGGAGGCAGCAGUAAGGAAUAUUGGUCAAUGGAGGGAACUCUGAACCAGCCAUGCCGCGUGCAGGAAGACAGCCCUCUGGGUCGUAAACUGCUUUUAUUCGGGAAUAAACCUUUCUACGUGUAGGAAGCUGAAUGUACCGAAGGAAUAAGGAUCGGCUAACUCCGUGCCAGCAGCCGCGGUAAUACGGAGGAUCCAAGCGUUAUCCGGAUUUAUUGGGUUUAAAGGGUGCGUAGGCGGCUUAUUAAGUCAGGGGUGAAAGACGGUGGCUCAACCAUCGCAGUGCCCUUGAUACUGAUGAGCUUGAAUACACUAGAGGUAGGCGGAAUGUGACAAGUAGCGGUGAAAUGCAUAGAUAUGUCACAGAACACCGAUUGCGAAGGCAGCUUACUAUGGUGUUAUUGACGCUGAGGCACGAAAGCGUGGGGAUCAAACAGGAUUAGAUACCCUGGUAGUCCACGCCCUAAACGAUGAAUACUCGCUGUUAGCGAUAUACAGUUAGCGGCUAAGCGAAAGCGUUAAGUAUUCCACCUGGGGAGUACGCCCGCAAGGGUGAAACUCAAAGGAAUUGACGGGGGCCCGCACAAGCGGAGGAGCAUGUGGUUUAAUUCGAUGAUACGCGAGGAACCUUACCCGGGCUUGAAAGUUAGUGAAUGAUCUAGAGAUAGAUCAGUGAGCAAUCACACGAAACUAGGUGCUGCAUGGCUGUCGUCAGCUCGUGCCGUGAGGUGUUGGGUUAAGUCCCGCAACGAGCGCAACCCCUAUGUUUAGUUGCCAGCACGUUAAGGUGGGGACUCUAAACAGACUGCCUGUGCAAACAGAGAGGAAGGAGGGGACGACGUCAAGUCAUCAUGGCCCUUACGUCCGGGGCUACACACGUGCUACAAUGGAUGGUACAGAGGGCAGCAAGCUGGCAACAGCAAGCGAAUCUCAAAAAGCCAUUCACAGUUCGGAUAGAGGUCUGCAACUCGACCUCUUGAAGUUGGAUUCGCUAGUAAUCGCGUAUCAGCAAUGACGCGGUGAAUACGUUCCCGGGCCUUGUACACACCGCCCGUCAAGCCAUGGAAGUUGGGGGUACCUAAAGUAUGUAACCGUAAGGAGCGUCCUAGGGUAAAACCGAUAACUGGGGCUAAGUCGUAACAAGGUAGCCGU
rnacentral:rRNA from 1 species